rnacentral:rRNA from 1 species
UACGUAGGGUGCAAGCGUUGUCCGGAAUUAUUGGGCGUAAAGAGCUCGUAGGUGGCCUGUCGCGUCGGCUGUGAAAACUCGGGGCUCAACUCCGAGCUUGCAGUCGAUACGGGCAGACUAGAGGUAGGUAGGGGAGAAUGGAAUUCCCGGUGUAGCGGUGAAAUGCGCAGAUAUCGGGAGGAACACCGGUGGCGAAGGCGGUUCUCUGGGCCUUACCUGACGCUGAGGAGCGAAAGCGUGGGGAGCGAACAGG